AAGUCGUAACAAGGUUUCCGUAGGUGAACCUGCGGAAGGAUCAUUAACACGUAUCCAACGUUAAAACAACCCUGUGAACCUUCAAUCUUGCUCGCGUGGCUCCAUGAAAGCAGCAAUCCCUGGUAAAUCAUCGCCGAACAGUUUUGAUUCUGGGACUUCCUCAAAGAGUGUGCAUGUUGCGCGAGGCAAGUGGCCUGGCAUUCCCAAGCAGUUAAUGUCUGAAAGUGUCAUUAGCUGUGUAAGGAUGACGCAGUAACGAUCGUUGGAGGCCGACACGGCCGACGACCGGGUCACCGGGCGCAAGCCCCUUUAUCACCACUUAAUGCAUGACAGACGCGCCAGCGCUUAAUUGUGCGGCGACCAAAAACCGAACAACUGUUAACAAUGGAUAUCUUGGUUCUC
rnacentral:misc_RNA from 1 species